AGACACUUUCCGACUCUAGCAGUGGAGGAAUCUGGGAUCGCUGGUGUCCUUUUGUGUGGUCCAAGACCCCAGCCCUCCAGAGUCUGGUUUCCAGGCCCACUGGAACUGACAAGAUCUUUUUGCUCAUUGGUAGAAGCCUGUGCAGGACAUGAGCCAGGUGAAUGAUGUUGGGCCCUGUGAGCACUCUGCAGCUGCCCAAAGAGGUGAUGAGGCACACCCAAGGGCACACAGCUGGAAGACAUCCUGGCCCGACAAGCUGCCCAAGUUUGGUGGUGACCAGACUCUACUGGGGGAAAAUGGGUUGGAGUCCCCUGAAAAGGACUGGAGGCCUUCUAAAGAGGAAAUUGCGGACACAAUCAGAGAAAGCCACAGGAAGAAGCCAAAAGUCAGAAGAAACCAGAGAGGAGAGAGAGAUCACCAUGUAACUAAGAUCUGCCAUCUUCAGAAGGUACCAACUCUGGGAGAAAGCAUGGCCUUGUCAUUAUAUCACUUUUGGAUUUCUAGCCUUCAAUACUAUGAGACAACAAAUUCUUGUUUAAGCCAAUCCAUUGUGUUGUUUUGGCAUAGCAGCUCUGGCAAACUGAGAGACCUCAUUUAAUAAAUAAGUAGGAAAAAAUAUAGUAGGAUACCACUACAUUCACAGCAGAUUAGUAAACAUUUUAAAUAUUGACAAUA